rnacentral:rRNA from 1 species
CCUACGGGCGGCAGCAGUGAGGAAUAUUGGUCAAUGGGCGAGAGUCUGAACCAGCCACGUAGCGUGAAGGAUGACGGCCCUAUGGGUUGUAAACUUCUUUUAUAUGGGAGUAAAAUAUUCCACGUGUGGGAUUUUGUAUGUACCAUAUGAAUAAGGAUCGGCUAACUCCGUGCCAGCAGCCGCGGUAAUACGGAGGAUCCGAGCGUUAUCCGGAUUUAUUGGGUUUAAAGGGAGAGUAGGUGGAUUGUUAAGUGAGUUGUGAAAGUUUGAGGCUCAACCGGAAAAUUGCAGAUGAAACUGGCAGUCUUGAGUACAGUAGAGGAGGGCGGAAUUCGUGGUGUAGCGGUGAAAUGCGUAGAUAUCACGAAGAACGCCGAUUGCGAAGGCAGUUCUCUGGACUGCAACUGACACUGAGGCUCGAAAGUGUGGGGAUCAAACAGGAUUAGAUACCCGUGUAGUC